GACGAACGCUGGCGGCGUGCCUAAUACAUGCAAGUAGAACGCUGAAGGAGGAGCUUGCUUCUCUGGAUGAGUUGCGAACGGGUGAGUAACGCGUAGGUAACCUGCCUGGUAGCGGGGGAUAACUAUUGGAAACGAUAGCUAAUACCGCAUAAGAGUAGAUGUUGCAUGACAUUUGCUUAAAAGGUGCAAUUGCAUCACUACCAGAUGGACCUGCGUUGUAUUAGCUAGUUGGUGAGGUAACGGCUCACCAAGGCAACGAUACAUAGCCGACCUGAGAGGGUGAUCGGCCACACUGGGACUGAGACACGGCCCAGACUCCUACGGGAGGCAGCAGUAGGGAAUCUUCGGCAAUGGACGGAAGUCUGACCGAGCAACGCCGCGUGAGUGAAGAAGGUUUUCGGAUCGUAAAGCUCUGUUGUAAGAGAAGAACGAGUGUGAGAGUGGAAAGUUCACAGGGUGACG
rnacentral:rRNA from 1 species